UUACAGACACGAAGCUAUUCACUGCUUGCUCAAUUAUCCGAAACGUUGCGAUUUAUGUGCGUCAUACGUGGACGCUGAAAAGUUUCAGGUAGCUGUUUGUUAGUGAACCUAAUCAUGCGUCAGCUGAAAGGAAAACCCGCUAAAGAAACCAAGAAAGAUAAAAGGGAGAGAAGAAGGGAUAAUAUUGAAAAUAAAAACAAUGUGACAAGAGUUGUCCUUCCAGUUUGUGGUGCAUUGAUAGCAGCUUUAGUUGCCUUUGUGCUUUAUAGCACGAAUUUCAAAAUAUGAAGCAUUAUUUUGUUGACAUUUGUUUUACUAGUAUUUGAGAAAAACGUCAUGGAACAUUGUGUUUUAUUAUGUUCUUACUGUUACAAAUUAUGUGGAAAAAAACAAAUGUUUUUGCGGAAAAUUCAACGAAAAUUUUUACUUGACCAGUUUUACAUAAUUAUCCGGAAGAGUAAACCGAGCAGGGAAACAGCUGGAAUUAUAGAACAGAUCUAGAGCUAUUUUCAAAUGGAUCUCUUAAAUAACUGAAGAGCUAUUUUUUAAAAAACUUUUCCACCAUUGAUGUUUGGACAUUACAGGACUUUAAAUUUUAUUACAUGUAAUGAUGUACAAAUGUAUAUACAUUCAUUCAUAUAUAUUGUUCACAUUUGGUUUAACUAAGCUGAAAACUAUCACCCAUUAUCAUUUCCUAUUUUAAAAUGCUUUUUGAUGUAUUUUCUUUCCUGAUGUUUUGUUUUUAAAUGUGAUGUUACAUCCAUGAAUGGAUGGAUAAAGAUAGUACAGUUUUAGAUUACAUGAGAUACAUUUGUAAAGCUUGUGUUCAAGAAUUUCACCUACAUUU